UCCUCCUCACUGCUGGUCGUUCGGUCAUCUCUCUCAACUUCAUCUCCCUCUUUCCCUUCCUAGAUCGAAUCCCUUCCUCUCCCAAUCAGGAUCAACACACAAUGCCCUUGCUUCUUUGUCCAACCACACCGCAUCUCCUCCAACUCACGAUCAGGAAAUUUGCAACCACAAAAUUUCCUCCCGGUGUUCUUGUCUUAUCAAGAUCUCACGUCGUCCCCCUUUCAUUUUUUUUGUUCACCUAAACUUCCCCUCGCAGCUUCUCCUUUCCUCUCCACAACACAGAUCUUCUUCUAUCAUCAAUAAGGGGGUCGUCGAUGAGGAGGCUAGCGACAAGGAGGCUGCGAGCGUCGACUGCAUGAGAGGAUUCUGGAGUUGCUCUCGCACGGUCUGGAGAAGGUGAUGAAGUACGUGCUGGUGACAGGGGGAGUGGUGAGUGGGCUAGGGAAAGGGGUGAUGACGAGCUGCAUCAGAGUCCUCCUCAAGUCGUGAGGAGUCCAAGUCACCCUUAUUAAAAUCGGUGCUUGCCUCGAUUCCACCCCGUUUAUGUUCCAAACUGUGGUUUUCUUUCAUGUUUCUAAUGCCAUUUCUUUGCCUUGAUUCCACCUUUAAUAAAACCUCAUGUUGUGCUUUUAUGUUCCCAUAAGUGGUAAGGGAAGAGAGGGGUCCUUAUAGAGAUCCUCAGCAUCCAUAUUUUUUAUGAAGAAGAUGAUGUGUGGAUGGCUCCCGGAUUCGUCAAUCAAUUUUAUGAUGUUCCAAAUUACUGGAAGACAUAUGUUGAAGAAGUAGAUCAGAAAAGAGGGGAUGUGGCUGAACUCUUUCUGUAAAGCACCUCUAAGACUUCCUAUGCCUGCUGAGCUUUAAUAUUGGUGGGAGAAAGGUUUUAGUUUCUUUCUUUAUUUAUGUCAUUGCCACAGUUUUGACAUUGAUGUUCCUAAUCCUUUGUGCAUCACCCAUUAGUCACAUUUGUCGGUUGCAAUGUAUGCUCUUGAUAAGUCUUCAUAAGCUCAAUACUGUUAGUUUUUUUUCCUUUCUUUAUUUUCUUGUAUACUUUAUAUGAAUUGUUUUAAUAGUUUGUGUAACUUUUGCUUGCUAUUUCAUGCAUACUCUAAAAUAAGCUGUUAGGUUGGAAGGCUUUUGGGCACUCGUCAUGCUGCCUUUGGAAAUCCUAUCCUUGUUUCUUCAUUUUUUGUUUCUAUCGGGAGAGUAAGCGUUUAUUUAAAUCUUCAGUUUUCUUUUGUCAAUUUAAACAUAAGCUCCUUCCUUUAUUUGUUUCGAGGUCAUGUUUGUUGUACUAAAAUGGAAAAUUUAUUAUGUUGUCCCCUCUGUAAUAGACAAAGAUAGGAUUAUAGGAAAACUACAUAUACUCAAUUUGUCACAUAUUCUGCUUAGUUUUGGAUUGAAAGAGUUCUGGACUUGUAUUUACAUACAAGAGUGACUAAUUAAUAACUGAUUCUUAAACUCAGAUUAAUGCAGCUGAAGUGAGCUACAAAGAGAGCUUAGAUAUAUUUGAUGCCACUAGGGACAAAGGCUUGCUGCCUAAUGUUAUCAAGAGGUUGCCCAUGUUUAAGCUAAGUUAUGAUGAGAUCAUUAAUUCAUGUGGGAGGAAUGAUUUCAUUGAUGGAGAUACUGCAAGGAUGAUGUCGAUGUGUAACCACAUUUUCCAUGUGGUGUGCAUUGAUGUGUGGCUUGUGAAGCAUGAUUCCUGCCCUACUUGUAGACAAGAGGUUCUGCAAUUUGAGGUUUCUUGGGUGGAUUCUCUCUCUCUUUUCUGAAUAAAACAUUACAUAAUCUUGAGAAAGAAAAAAAUACUUUUAAGGCUUCGAAUGGGAGGAUGAAUGAAAAUUAAUAGAUGGAUGAACAAAUGAAUAUUAUUUAGUUUAUGUUUUUCCAUCUGGUAUCCCGAUCUAUUAGAUACAUGCUUAGUCGAGAUUAACUCUUCAUUCAAAAUCUAACAGAUGUUGUGAAGUGAUACUUGAUUGCAAAAGUAGGCAUCUAUCAAAAUUAAACACUGAAGAAACUAUGGAGCACAAGCAUAAGAUGCUUUCACUUACUAAGAAAAAGUUCAUUUAUUUGCUAAAAAGAUGGUGCAUGCAAUGGCAUCAAUGGAUGCAUUUUUGCAUCCUCUUUUUGAUGAACAUAAUUCAAGAAAGAGAGGAAGAAAGAAGAAUGACACAGAAGAAUAUUAUGAGGUUUUCUUCCUAUUAUUUUUUAUUAUGAGGUUUUCUUCCUAUUAUUUUAUCCUAAAAAGAAUAACAAGCAUGUAAAUGAAAAUGACUUCAUUUUGCAAGAAAACAUUGCACAAGAAGCUGAUUUAAGCAACAAUGGUAAUUCCUUAAGUAGUGCAUCUGCGAUCCAAAAUCAAAAUGACCAAAUUAUCAAGUACAUUCUCGACAUGCUAGAAUUGUGAAUCAAACUAACACAAGAUUAUAUUUGAUGAACAUCUUGGCACCGUUGGCACUUUUUUAUAUCUACUGAAAAAUAUUUUUUGUAUCUUGAUUCUAUAAAAUGUUGUAUCUCUAACUCAUAUGUAGUAUCUUGUAGAUGAGAAUUACGAUUUAUCUUGUACACGGUACUCAAUUUUUGCAAAUUAAACUAUGAGGUUAGAAUAUAUACAUAUAUAUAUAUAUAUAGUCUUUUUCGAACAUAAGUUAGAAUUUUAAAGUCUAAACUACUUCAUGCUAAUAGCCUUUUCACAAUCAUUUAAUUCCUUCCUUCCUGAAUCUUCAGAUAUGUUGAUUUAGAUAAAUCUCUUUAGAUUGCUUAAUUCUCUAUUUGGUGUUGUUCAUUGUUCUUAUUCUUUGGUAUUGAGGGUUAGUUGUGCACAUUUCAUUAGCUUUGGAGUAUGCAAAUUUCAACAGUUUCCUUGAAUCAAUGGUUUAUAGGGAAAAUAAGCUUGUCUAGAAUAUUAUGUAUUUCUAUCCUCUUAAUCUAUUGAUCGGGUUUUAAGGAUUGAUUGGCUGGCCAACAGACAUUGAUAUUAUAUGUAGUAUAGUUGUAUACUUAUGAGGGCAUAUAUGUUAGUGAGAUGGUGUUAACCUAUACUUGAUGGAAAUCACUCCCUAGUAGAGGAGUAGUGUAUUUUACUAGACUUUUCUCUUCGGAUCAACCCAUAGGAUAACUUGAUCUUGUUCCCGUUAUUUAUUAUAUAUGUGAUGAUACUAUGGAAUUAGUUAAGAUAUUAAUAAUAGAUGACUAGUAUUCUCUUAAUGAGAUUGGUUGACUAGUAUUUUGGAGACCUAAUGUCUAUUUUCUGCCUAUAUUUUAGUAGAAUUAUAUUAUAGUAUAGGAUACUGAGUAUCAAAUGUCUAUAUGAAAAGUAUUUUUCACCUUCAUAUUUUGAUAUAAUGGUUCACUUAACAGCCCAUCUCGUGCGUGAGGUCAACAUGGCCUUGAAAAUGUAUAAUGCGGAGGUAGGAAGAAAAGGGAAAAACAACCAACAUGGG